UGAUCGAAGCCCCGGUAAACGGCGGCCGUAACAAUAACGGUCCUAAGGUAGCGAAAUUCCUUGUCGGGUAAGUUCCGACCUGCACGAAUGGCGUAACGAUGGCGGCGCUGUCUCCACCCGAGACUCAGUGAAAUUGAAAUCGCUGUGAAGAUGCAGUGUAUCCGCGGCUAGACGGAAAGACCCCGUGAACCUUUACUAUAGCUUUGCACUGGACUUUGAAUUUGCUUGUGUAGGAUAGGUGGGAGGCUUUGAAGUGGGGACGCCAGUUCUCAUGGAGCCAUCCUUGAAAUACCACCCUGGCAACUUUGAGGUUCUAACUCAGGUCCGUUAUCCGGAUCGAGGACAGUGUAUGGUGGGUAGUUUGACUGGGGCGGUCUCCUCCUAAAGAGUAACGGAGGAGUACGAAGGUGCGCUCAGACCGGUCGGAAAUCGGUCGUAGAGUAUAAAGGCAAAAGCGCGCUUGACUGCGAGACAGACACGUCGAGCAGGUACGAAAGUAGGUCUUAGUGAUCCGGUGGUUCUGUAUGGAAGGGCCAUCGCUCAACGGAUAAAAGGUACUCCGGGGAUAACAGGCUGAUACCGCCCAAGAGUUCAUAUCGACGGCGGUGUUUGGCACCUCGAUGUCGGCUCAUCACAUCCUGGGGCUGAAGCCGGUCCCAAGGGUAUGGCUGUUCGCCAUUUAAAGUGGUACGUGAGCUGGGUUUAAAACGUCGUGAGACAGUUUGGUCCCUAUCUGCAGUGGGCGUUGGAAGUUUGACGGGGGCUGCUCCUAGUACGAGAGGACCGGAGUGGACGAACCUCUGGUGUUCCGGUUGUCACGCCAGUGGCAUUGCCGGGUAGCUAUGUUCG
rnacentral:rRNA from 1 species